GUGCUCGCUUCAGCAGCACAUGUUCUAAAAUUGGAACGAACGAUACAGAGAAGAUUAGCAUGGCCCCUGCACAAGAAUGACACACAAAUUCGUGAAGCAUUCUGUAUUAAA